GUCCUUUUGAAUUUAAUUUAAGGUCUGACCUGCCCAGUGAUGAAUUUAACGGCCGCGGUAUACUGACCGUGCAAAGGUAGCAUAAUCAUUAGUCUUUUAAUAGAGGGCUGGAAUGAACGGUUUCACGAGGAACUGACUGUCUCAUUUUAUUUGUUUUAAAAUUUAAUUUUUUAGUUAAAAAGCUAAAAUUUCGUUGGAAGACGAGAAGACCCUAUAGAUCUUUAUAUGAAUUUUUGUAUUUAUUUAUUUAUUAACAUAAUUACAAUAAAAUUGUAUUUUGUUGGGGUGACAAAAAUAUAUAAUCAACUUUUUCAUUUAUUUACCAUUGAUAUAUGAAUAUUAGAUCCAUUAUUAGUGAUUGAUAGACUAAGUUACCUUAGGGAUAACAGCGUAAUCCUCCUCCAGAGUUCAUAUUUACAGGAGGGCUUGCGACCUCGAUGUUGGAUUAAGAUAAUAAUUAGGUGUAGCCGCUUAAUUUAUAGGUCUGUUCGACCUUUAAAUUCUU
rnacentral:rRNA from 1 species